CUUCGGGGUGUGACUGCGUACCUUUUGUAUAAUGGGUCAGCGACUUAUAUUCUGUAGCAAGGUUAACCGAAUAGGGGAGCCGGAGGGAAACCGAGUCUUAAUUGGGCGUUAAGUUGCAGGGUAUAGACCCGAAACCCGGUGAUCUAGCCAUGGGCAGGUUGAAGGUUGGGUAACACUAACUGGAGGACCGAACCGACUAAUGUUGAAAAAUUAGCGGAUGACCUGUGGCUGGGGGUGAAAGGCCAAUCAAACCGGGAGAUAGCUGGUUCUCCCCGAAAGCUAUUUAGGUAGCGCCUCGUGAAUUCAUCUCCGGGGGUAGAGCACUGUUUCGGCUAGGGGGCCAUCCCGGCUUACCAACCCGAUGCAAACUGCGAAUACCGGAGAAUGUUAUCACGGGAGACACACGGCGGGUGCUAACGUCCGUCGUGAAGAGGGAAACAACCCAGACCGCCAGCUAAGGUCCCAAAGUCAUGGUUAAGUGGGAAACGAUGUGGGAAGGCCCAGACAGCCAGGAUGUUGGCUUAGAAGCAGCCAUCAUUUAAAGAAAGCGUAAUAGCUCACUGGUCGAGUCGGCCUGCGCGGAAGAUGUAACGGGGCUAAACCAU
rnacentral:rRNA from 2 species